AGUGGCGCAAGGGUGCGUAACACGUGGGUCAUUUGCCGCGAAGUCGGGAACAACUCGUUGAAAGACGAGCUAAUACCUAAUGUGCUCCGCAAGGAGUAAAGCCGGGGACCGAAAGGCCUGGCGCUUCGCGAUAAGCCCGCGGCCUAUCAGCUAGUUGGCGGGGUAAAAGCCCACCAAGGCUAAGACGGGUAGCUGGUCUGAGAGGACGACCAGCCACACUGGAACUGAGACACGGUCCAGACACCUACGGGUGGCAGCAGUCGAGAAUUUUUCACAAUGGGCGAAAGCCUGAUGGAGCGACGCCGCGUGGGGGAUGAAGGGCUUCGGCUCGUAAACCCCUGUCAUUUGCGAACAAAGGCGCCAACCUAACACGCUGUCGUCUGAUAGUAGCAGAAGAGGAAGGGACGGCUAACUCUGUGCCAGCAGCCGCGGUAAUACAGAGGUCCCAAGCGUUGUUCGGAUUCACUGGGCGUAAAGGGUGCGUAGGUGGCGGAUUAAGUCGGGUGUGAAAUCUCCGGGCUCAACCCGGAGCGUGCGCCCGAAACUGAUCCGCUAGAGGAUAGGAGGGGAGACUGGAAUUCUCGGUGUAGCAGUGAAAUGCGUAGAUAUCGAGAGGAACACCGGUGGCGAAGGCGAGUCUCUGGACUAUUCCUGACACUGAAUCACGAAAGCCGGGGGAGCAAACAGGAUUAGAUACCCUGGUAGUCCCGGCCCUAAACGGUGCGCAUUUGC
rnacentral:rRNA from 1 species